AGAGUUUGAUCAUGGCUCAGGAUGAACGCUGGCGGCGUGCCUAACACAUGCAAGUCGAGCGAGACUCCGGCAGAAGAGACUUCGGUUAAAUCAGUCGGACGAUAGCGGCGGACGGGUGAGUAACGCGUAGGCAAUCUGCCCCGUACAGAGGGAUAGCCGUUGGAAACGACGAGUAAGACCUCAUGAUGCAGCACUUUCACAUGGGAGAGCUGCCAAAGAUUUAUCGGUAUGGGAUGAGCCUGCGUCUGAUUAGCUGGUUGGUGAGGUAACGGCCCACCAAGGCGACGAUCAGUAGCCGACCUGAGAGGGUGAUCGGCCACAUUGGAACUGAGACACGGUCCAAACUCCUACGGGAGGCAGCAGUGGGGAAUAUUGCACAAUGGAGGGAACUCUGAUGCAGCAACGCCGCGUGAAGGAUGAAGGUUUUCGGAUCGUAAACUUCUGUCCAUGGGGACGAAGAAAGUGACGGUACCCGUGGAGGAAGCCCCGGCUAACUACGUGCCAGCAGCCGCGGUAAUACGUAGGGGGCGAGCGUUAUCCGGAAUUAUUGGGCGUAAAGAGUGCGUAGGUGGCCCACUAAGCGCAGGGUUUAAGGCAAUGGCUUAACUGUUGUUCGCCUUGCGAACUGGAGGGCUUGAGUUCAGGAGAGGAAAGUGGAAUUCCUAGUGUAGCGGUGGAAUGCGUAGAUAUUAGGAGGAACACCGGUGGCGAAGGCGACUUUCUGGACUGAUACUGACACUGAGGCACGAAAGCGUGGGGAGCAAACAGGAUUAGAUACCCUGGUAGUCCACGCCGUAAACGAUGAGCACUAGGUGUCGGGGCCGUAAAGGCUUCGGUGCCGCAGUUAACGCAAUAAGUGCUCCGCCUGGGGAGUAUGCACGCAAGUGUUAAACUCAAAGGAAUCGACGGGGACCCGCACAAGCAGCGGAGCAUGUGGUUUAACUCGAAGCAACGCGAAGAACCUUACCAGGACUUGACAUCCCCCUGACAGGGCUUUAAAAGGCCCCUUCUUCGGACAGGGGAGGCAGGUGGUGCAUGGUUGUCGUCAGCUCGUGUCGUGAGAUGUUGGGUUAAGUCCCGCAACGAGCGCAACCCUUGCCUUUAGUUGCCAUCAUCAAGUUGGGCACUCUAGAGGGACUGCCGGGGACAACUCGGAGGAAGGCGGGGAUGACGUCAAAUCAUCAUGCCCCUUAUGUUCUGGGCUACACACGUGCUACAAUGGCCGGUACAGCAGGAAGCGAAGCCGUGAGGCGGAGCGAACCCCAAAAGCCGGUCCCAGUUCGGACUGCAGGCUGCAACCCGCCUGCACGAAGUCGGAGUUGCUAGUAAUCGCGGAUCAGCACGCCGCGGUGAAUGCGUUCCCGGGUCUUGUACACACCGCCCGUCACACCAUGGAAGUUGGUGGUGCCCGAAGUCGGUCAACAAAUCUACUGCCUAAGGCAAAACCAAUGACUGGGGUGAAGUCGUAACAAGGUAACCGUA
rnacentral:rRNA from 1 species